rnacentral:rRNA from 1 species
UAGGGAAUCUUCCGCAAUGGACGCAAGUCUGACGGAGCAACGCCGCGUGAGUGAAGAAGGAUUUCGGUUCGUAAAACUCUGUUGUUAGAGAAGAACAGCGCAUAGAGUAACUGUUAUGCGUGUGACGGUAUCUAACCAGAAAGCCACGGCUAACUACGUGCCAGCAGCCGCGGUAAUACGUAGGUGGCAAGCGUUGUCCGGAUUUAUUGGGCGUAAAGCGAGCGCAGGCGGUCAAUUAAGUCUGAUGUGAAAGCCCCCGGCUCAACCGGGGAGGGUCAUUGGAAACUGGUUGACUUGAGUGCAGAAGAGGAGAGUGGAAUUCCACGUGUAGCGGUGAAAUGCGUAGAUAUAUGGAGGAACACCAGUGGCGAAGGCGACUCUCUGGUCUGUAACUGACGCUGAGGCUCGAAAGCGUGGGUAGCAAACAGG